rnacentral:rRNA from 1 species
UACGUAGGGGGCUAGCGUUGUCCGGAAUCAUUGGGCGUAAAGCGCGUGUAGGCGGUCCGGUAAGUCCGCUGUGAAAGCCAGGGGCUCAACCCUUGGAUGCCGGUGGAUACUGUCGGGCUUGAGUACGGAAGAGGCGAGUGGAAUUCCUGGUGUAGCGGUGAAAUGCGCAGAUAUCAGGAGGAACACCAAUUGCGAAGGCAGCUCGCUGGGACGUUACUGACGCUGAGACGCGAAAGCGUGGGAGCAAACAGG